rnacentral:lncRNA from 1 species
UUCCUUCUGCAGAUCAUCUUAAAGGAUCCCGUGUGCACAUGAUUUUUGAAGCCCAACAUCUCUCUUAACCACCUGCAAAUCCGCAGGUCUUGGUACACAGCCUGUCUCCCAUGACUGCUCCUGUCCAGCAGAUCAAGUGACACGUGCAGGCCCAGGUGCCUGACCUCUGUCACCAAGUGAAUAGUCUGUGUUUUGAUUCCCAAGCCUAAUUCAAACAGGUAAACUUACUAAAAUUACAUUUGGUCAUCACUACAGUGUUUUCUCUAACCACUUCCCAAAUUCACCCUUUUUAUUAGUCAUACAGUAACCUGUAUAAUACACAGCUUAUGACUUGUCUUUUUGGUCCUAUGAGUGGCCAUACCUGUCCCCGA